rnacentral:rRNA from 1 species
GACGAACGCUGGCGGCGUGCUUAACACAUGCAAGUCGAACGGAAAGGCCCUGCUUUUGUGGGGUGCUCGAGUGGCGAACGGGUGAGUAACACGUGAGUAACCUGCCCUUGACUUUGGGAUAACUUCAGGAAACUGGGGCUAAUACCGGAUAGUAGCUCCUGCUGCAUGGUGGGGGUUGGAAAGUUUCGGCGGUUGGAGAUGGACUCGCGGCUUAUCAGCUUGUUGGUGGGGUAGUGGCUUACCAAGGCUUUGACGGGUAGCCGGCAUGAGAGGGUGACCGGCCACAUUGGGACUAAGAUACGGCGCAGACUGCUACAGGAGGCAGUAGUGGGGAAUAUUGCACAAUGGGCGGAAGCCUGAUGCAGCAACGCCGCGUGCGGGAUGACGGCCUUCGGGUUGUAAACCGCUUUCGCCUGUGACGAAGCGUGAGUGACGGUAAUGGGUAAAGAAGCACCGGCUAACUACGUG